UUGGCGAACGGGUGAGUAACGCGUGAGUAACCUGCCCUAGAGUGGGGGACAACAGUUGGAAACGACUGCUAAUACCGCAUAAGCCCACGGUACCGCAUGGUACUGAGGGAAAAGGAUUUAUUCGCUUUAGGAUGGACUCGCGUCCAAUUAGCUAGUUGGUGAGGUAACGGCCCACCAAGGCGACGAUUGGUAGCCGGACUGAGAGGUUGAACGGCCACAUUGGGACUGAGACACGGCCCAG
rnacentral:rRNA from 1 species